rnacentral:misc_RNA from 1 species
GAUGAAGAACGUAGCAAAAUGCGAUAAGUAAUGUGAAUUGCAGAAUUCAGUGAAUCAUCGAAUCUUUGAACGCACAUUGCGCCCGCUGGUAUUCCGGCGGGCAUGCCUGUUCGAGCGUCAUUUCAACCCUCAAGCCCCCCGGGUUUGGUGUUGGGGAUCGGCUCUGCCUCACGGCGGUGCCGCCCCCGAAAUACAUUGGCGGUCUCGCUGCAGCCUCCAUUGCGUAGUAGUAAAACCCUCGCAACUGGAACGCGGCGCGGCCAAGCCGUUAAACCCCCAACUUCUGAAUGUUGACCUCGGAUCAGGUAGGAAUACCCGCUGAACUUAAGCAUAUCAAUAAGCGGAGGA